AAUACAUCCCUCACAGGUCCUCCCUGAGGCAGUGGGGCUAGGAUUUGGUAGCUGGUGCCGAGAAAAGACCCUUUGACUUCUUUGGCAUCUUUGCUCUGGGACUCUACCAGCGGCAACUGUCACUCAAUGGGACAGAG
rnacentral:snoRNA from 1 species